rnacentral:rRNA from 1 species
CACGGGGGGAGCAAGCGUUGUUCGGAUUCAUUGGGCGUAAAGAGCUCGUAGGUGGCUUUGUAAGUCGGAGGUGAAAUCCCACGGCUCAACCGUGGACACGCCUUCGAUACUGUGAAGCUUGAGGCUGGGAGAGGGAAUCGGAAUUCCUGGUGUAGCGGUGAAAUGCGUAGAUAUCAGGAGGAACACCGGUGGCGAAGGCGGGUCUCUGGGCCGAUACUGACGCUGAGGCGCGAAAGCUAGGGGAGCAAACGGG